rnacentral:tRNA from 1 species
GCCUUUGUGGUGUAGUGGUCAGCACGCUCGAUGCGUAACCGAGAGGUCCGUGGUUCGAUCCCUACGAAGGCG